ensembl:lncRNA
UAUAUAUAUAUAUAUAUAUAUAUAUAUAUGUAUAUAUAUAUAUAUAUAUAUAUAUAUAUGUAUAUAUAUAUAUAUAUAUAUAUAUAUAUAUAUAUAUAUAUAUAUAUAUAUAUGGACUUUACGUAUUUUAUUAGGAUUAGGGAUGUAGAAUAUGGUCAUGCAGAAUAUGUGCUUUAUAAGUAUAUAUAAACAGCCAAUAUGCUUAUAAUAUGAAUACUAAUAGCAACUAGUUAAUAUAAGAGUUGGUCCCUAUACUAAAGUGUAUAGCCCAUGUAUUUAUUUAUUUAUUUUGGAGAGUAGCAUGUUAUACAAUACUUGCAUAUAAUGCUGUAGGCUACAUUGUAACAUCAUUGUAAAUGACCCUCAUGUCUCUGUUCUGUCAUUAAUUCAAUUAAUAAUAAUGACUUGUAUCCAUCACGCCACACUCAAUAUAAACAUUAUCAUAUUAACCUCCAAAAAUCUAUUCUCAUUCUAUCAACAUAAUUAAUUUAGCCUGCAAGUGGGGGUUAUCUGAAUAAUUGACACCAACUCUAAGAUAUGAAAUAUUCAUAUUCUCCCUGCGUGCCUGUAAUAUGAUUGUGAAUAGCAGGUGUCUCCUUCCAAAUGACUUUUGGACCGGGCAGGAGGGUGGCAUGUCUGCAAUACUCGGGACCUCCGGUGUUGAGCACUGACCUUCAUGCGGUGGUCCAUCUUCACAGUUGAGUUCAUGCAUCGUCUCAGCAACACAGACACGCUGGUCAUAUAUCUUUGUUUUGUGCCAGGUCUCGCACUCAGCAACUCUGAGGGAAGCACCAUUAGGUAUAAUGCUCUCUCUCUCUCUCUCUCUCUCUCUCUCUCUCCAUUUUGGCAGCCAAUAUCCAAUGGAUAUUUAGAGAGGAACAUGACUGUGGGAUGGUGGCUGUGGCAGAGGGAGAAUAAAUUGGUUUCCUUUUGUUGGAGUAUAACAAAGAGAUCUAAACACAUAGUGUUGAGCCGGAUCAGGAAUGGCAGAAAGCCAAUACAAACUCAUGUCUGGAGUCCCAGAUCAGUGAGUUAUUUUACUGGGGGCCAUUAUUGUUCCUUUAUGUGAAAUCAAUAAGCCCCUGUGGAAUAAAACGCUUGACCUAAAGAUAUGCUUUCUUUCUCCCUUCACUAUUUUAGGUGGAGGAGAAUCGUAAGCCACAGAUAUUUAGGUAAGAUACAAGUUAAUCACUAAAGAUGUUUUGAUCCUUGCUG